UCUGCUUGAACCACUGGCGAGAUUAUCUCUCAAACACCAACAGAAUGUGGUAACUCUUGCAGAGGUCCACACCUGCAUGGACAGUAUCUACCCUAGACCUCCUUCAAGAGUACAAAACAAGGUACGUAUAAUUAGUACCAUAGUUAAGUUCUAAAUUGUUAGAGGUCAUUUAUUAUGCAUCUGAAAUUUAAUUACGGACUUCUAUGAAAACCUGAACAUUUACUUCUUGUAGAGACAAUGAGGCUCUUAAGAAGCUAUUAGAAGAUGGCUGUUAUCAGAAUGUUCUGACCAAAGGUAGCUUCCCCAACAUGAGAUACAAGCUUACAGCGGCUGUGACAAGCAGAUUUUCUCUUCAUGCUUCUCAGACAGGUGUUAUAGAGGCUACUCGGAUAUCUAACUUCAGCUGCUGGCCGGCACCAGACACAGAUUCUAUUGCAGGUAGAAAUUUUGUAGUUAAAAACUAUGACAUGGACUGCAACUUUCACUGCAACAGUGCAGUAAUUCUCUUAUGCUACUAAAUUAACUUGCAUCGUCAUGUAUUCUUUAGAAUAUGGAGACCAUGAGGUAAAAUCAAUUCUGCAGCACUUCUCGAACACACUCAAACAAGCAGGCAUUGAUGACAGUGACACAGCGCUGAACAUGAAGGCCAUCUGGAAUCUUUAAAGUGGGCAACUGUUCAUUCUGGGUUUCCAGCGUUUAAGGCCAUUCUGAUGAUAAUGGAUUUGUUGUUAUGGUUGCCGCCAACAUCUGUAGCAUGCGAAACAUCAUUCAGUCAGAUGAAACUGAUCAAGACAAGCAGGCGAGCUAGCAUGAAAGAGUCCACUUUAAAUAACUUGAUGUUAGUCAAGCUGGAGUCUCCUCCAGUUGCAGACUUCAGCCCUGAUAAGGCAAUUGACAUGUGGCUGGUAGGUAAUUGCAUCAAUAAUUGCAACCUUUUUUUCUCUUUCAAAUUCAGUUUGCAAUGUGGUCCUUGUCAGCUUGAGUUUUUGUGGAUUAUUUAGUAAU
rnacentral:misc_RNA from 1 species